rnacentral:rRNA from 1 species
GUAACACAUCGGAACGUACCCAGUAGCGGGGGAUAGCCCGGCGAAAGCCGGAUUAAUACCGCAUACGCCCUACGGGGGAAAGGGGGGGAUCGUAAGACCUCUCACUAUUGGAGCGGCCGAUGGCUGAUUAGCUAGUUGGUGGGGUAAAGGCCUACCAAGGCAACGAUCAGUAGCUGGUCUGAGAGGACGACCAGCCACACUGGGACUGAGACACGGCCCAGACUCCUACGGGAGGCAGCAGUGGGGAAUUUUGGACAAUGGGCGAAAGCCUGAUCCAGCAAUGCCGCGUGUGCGAAGAAGGCCUUCGGGUUGUAAAGCACUUUUGUCAGGGAAGAAAUCGUUCGGGCUAAUACCUCGGGCAGUUGACGGUACCUGAAGAAUGAGCACCGGCUAACUACGUGCCAGCAGCCGCGGUAAUACGUAGGGUGCAAGCGUUAAUCGGAAUUACUGGGCGUAAAGCGUGCGCAGGUGGUUUGUUAAGACAGUUGUGGAAUCCCCGGGCUUAACCUGGGAACUGCAAUUGUGACUGGCGGACUAGAGUUUGGCAGAGGGGGGUGGAAUUCCUGGUGUAGCAGUGAAAUGCGUAGAUAUCAGGAGGAACACCGAUGGCGAAGGCAGCCCCCUGGGCCAUGACUGACACUCAUGCA